GAAUGAGAAGGUGGAUGGAGAGCUAGAUAAACACGGAGGUUCACCUGAUCACAUGAUGAUCCGGGGAAAACAGUGUCUUGAAACCCUCAGCUAUACCUUGUGGGCAACAACCUGGGAAUGGGCUCUUUCAGGCAUAGUGACCAGACCACAACUGUAACAAAAUAAUACUUGCUGACUCUGGCAUGACCAGAAAUCGUAAUUUAGGUAGACACCUCAAUCAUACUCAAGCAUGUUGGCAACUGAAUUCUGGCUUUUUUGUGAAUGACUGACAUCUAGGAUUACUGGUACACAGUUUUACUAUAUACUAGGCAUGAAUGAUACAUGUAUCAUAUAAUUUAUUUGCUGAUAUUAAAGAUUAUUAAAUGAAUGAAUAACUUCAAGAAGGCAUUAGGGAAACUCGCUCUAAUUGGUUAUGUGGAUCCAGUUGUGGGAUCAGUGUUGCGUUUGAUAAAGAUCACACCGACACAGUAAGUAACAUCAACUUAUCAAAUUUUUUUUACUUCACUUCUGUGUCUUCAGACUCCAGUAGACGAACACAUACACUGGUCAGGCAUGACAGAAUGCUUUCAGCACAAUCAAACUCGAUGCAUCACUGAACACUAACUCAUUGCAUUAUCAAACAACACUUGUGAGAACACAACAGUCAGGGUGCUUUCCAUUGAUAGAGGUGGAAACAAGUAAGAAAACACCACAUUUAAUCAACAUACUCUACAGUAAAUGCCUGUAAAACUGGACAAAUAUCAUCCAAUACAUCUUACAGAAAAAGCAUUUAGGGAUGCUGAACAUCUGAGUAUUAAAAAAAAAGACAAUUGUUUUUGUCACUCUUAGAGAAACGUGUUUAUGCCAAGAUGGCUUUUACUUAAAGCUUUUUCUUGUAUUACAGAGGGUUUCACUACAAGUGUUAAAACAGCUGGAGACUCAAACAGGAAAACAAGUUCAUCCACUCUUUGACUAUGUGGAGUCAGCACUGGAGCAGUUCUGGCUUUCAUGUUGGGUCUAGAUCGUGUCUCUUUAGAUGAAUGUAAAGAGAUGUAUCAUCGUUUUGGGUCAGAUGUUUUUAUGUAGGCUGGAAAAUAUCAUCAGUAAAUGAGGAAGAUGAGCAUGUCCUUGCUGGACACACAAGACUGUGAAGGGCUGUGUUUUUUGAAAAGAUACAAAUCAUUGUUAGAGAAGUUAUCACAUAUAAACAGCCGUUUUAGACUGAAUUGAACACUUCUGCCAAUGUAAAUUCUGUAUGAAUGUCAAUAUUUAUUUAUUUAUUAUUUCUAUUUUUAGGUUUAUUAAAUUAAAGCUUAAAGCA